GCAGCAGCCAGUUAUCUCAACACAUAAACAUUGACAGCGCAGAAUGGCGAAAGCUGCACUACGAUGUAUAGAGUGCAAUGAAGAUGCGAACGAGCUCCAUCGUGAUUACAGCAACGGGAUUUUAAAAAUUACCAUAUGUGACUCGUGUAAGAAGCCAGUGGACAAAUACAUUGAGUAUGAUCCUGUCAUUGUUCUGAUUGAUGCCAUCUUGUGCAAAAUUCAAGCAUUCAGGCACAUUUUGUUCAACACAGAGGUCAAUAUUCACUGGAAGCUGUGUGUGUUCUGCCUCCUGUGUGAGGCGUAUCUGAGAUGGUCCCAGCUGCAGGGCUCUGAACAGACCAGUGACCCUGCUGACAUCAUCAGAUACACCAGGGAAUGGGACUUCUAUAGCAUGUUUGGACUCGCAGCUCUCGAGCUGGCUGUGUUCGUUUGUGGUGUGCUGGCCUGUCUGUGGCUGGUGGUGGGGCUGCGGGGCCAGGUGCUGGACACCCACCUGCUGGUCAAAGCCCUGCUGCUGUCCAGCUACGGCAAGGUGCUACUCAUCCCAGCAGUCAUCUGGGAGCACGACUACUCGCCCCUCUGCUUCAGCCUCAUUAAGAUCUUUGUGCUGACCUCCAACACACAGGCCGUCAGAGGUAACAGUUAUGGUUACUGUUUAACAUGUCCUGCUACAACACACAGGCUGUCAGAGGUAACAGUUACGGUUACUGUUUAACAUGUCCUGCUACAACACACAUGCCGUCAGAGGUAACAGUUACGGUUACUGUUUAACAUGUCCUGCUACAACACACAGGCCGUCAGAGUUCUACUGAACUGUGGCCGAUGCCUUUCUCUGCUGGCUGUGAUGUCUGGACUGUUACUGGAGUCCUGCGUUUCGCUGACCUUCCACAGGCUUGAGUGGCACACGCAGGACUUCCUACCACACCCGUGACCUAACGUCGACCCCUU